rnacentral:lncRNA from 1 species
UAGCGAGAUACACUCUCUAUGCAUAUAUGUUUAUAGAUACAGAUAUACUUACAUGUCUAAAAAUCACGUUUAUUUAACUGUAAGCUCCUGAAGUGAGAAAGCAAGCAAUCUAAAAUAUUUAUGUCCACUAUGCAACUGCUAACAAAAUAACUCUUCUUUGACAUCAGUCUUCAGGACUUCCAGCACUUCAGCUUUGCCAUUUUUACAAUGGCUUUGUAGUAAAAGUAGUGCAAACCUUCUAAAAUCAACACAAUAAGUAACCUGGGGAGUAGGAGGUAAACUAAAUGAAGGUCAUCUUUCUACAUACAGAUGUAACCACAGAGCUAGGUGACAUAUUAAUAUUCACUGUAGUUUCAUUUUAAACCUCUGGGAGUUCAUUAGCUUCCCUCUUAUAUGUUAUUGUUCAAAUCCUGCCUAUGACAGAGCAAACAGAAAAGAUAACAAAAAUGAUUGAAUAGAAGGUAUUUUCCAGGUUGUGAAAAUGCAGCUGAAGUAAUACUGUGCUCUGCUGGGCUUCUCAUAUUUUGUUGUAUUACAGGAUAGAUGCAGAAAAUAAGAUGGUUCUCCCUCUUGAGGAAAAAAAACAUUUAUUAUGAGAAUGAAUGCACCAGUCAGAGCAUAUGGGCCUAACAGAUAUGCUUUGGACUGUAAAUGAAGACAUAUGGUUCCUAAAGUCAGUGCAGCUGUUAUGGUUGGAACCAAAGAAUAAUCUGCCUUCUUUGUCAUCAGCUUAAUAGGCCACUUAAAUGCAUUUCAGAAAUCUGAGUAAAAAGACUUUCACAUGCCACAGAGACUCCCAAGCUACUACUUUCUUCUUGAAGAAUUUUUCCUUCGUCAAGGUAAGUUUAAUAAACUGUUUAUAUU